UCAAGCGAACAAGGGCGCAGGGCGAAUGCCUUGGCACUGGGAGCCGAUGAAAGACGUGAUAAGCUGCGAUAAGCUUCGGGGAGCUGCAAAUAAGCAUUGAUCCGGAGAUUUCUGAAUGAGGAAACUCACCUGGGUUCAUACUCAGGUACGUUACACUGAAAUUCAAAAUAGGUGUAUCGAGGGAACCGCCUGAACUGAAACAUCUAAGUAGGGCGAGGAAGAGACAUCAAACGAGAUUCCGUAAGUAGUGGCGAGCGAACGCGGAAGAGGGCAAACCGGGAGUAGAAAUACUUCCGGGGUACGGACUGCUUUUAGGACUUAAUCUGUUAACCGAACGGCAUGGGAAGGCCGGUCAGAGAGUGUGAGAACCACGUAGGUGAAAACGGAGAGAGCUGCGCAGAUUCCAGAGUACGGCCAGACACGUGAAACCUGGUCGGAAGAUGGGGGGACCACCCUCCAACCCUAAAUACUACCCAGUGACCGAUAGCGUAUAGUACUGUGAAGGAAAGGUGAAAAGCACCCCGGGAGGGGAGUGAAAAAGAACCUGAAACCCUGUGCCUACAAGCACCUAGAGCACGUCAAAGUGUGAUAGGGUACUUUUUGUAGAACGGUCCGGCGAGCGAUUGUAUGCAGCAAGGUUAAGGACUUAAGGUCUGGAGCCGAAGCGAAAGCGAGUUUGAAAAGGGCGUUAAGUUGCAUAUAAUGGGCCCGAAACCGGGUGACCUACCCAUGGUCAGGUUGAAGUGGAAGUAAAAUUCCAUGGAGGACCGAACCGACCUCCGUUGAAAAGGCGGCGGAUGAACUGUGGGUAGCGGAGAAAUUCCAAUCGAACCCGGAGAUAGCUGGUUCUCCCCGAAAUAGUUUUAGGACUAGCCUCAAGUUAGAUACCUGGAGGUAAAGCACUGAAUAGCCUAGCGGCCGAGAGGUUAGCGAAGCUUAUCAAACUCAGAAUGCCAGAGUAUUGAUGCUUGGGAGUCAGACAGUGUCAGAUAAAUGUCAUUGUCAAAAGGGAAACAGCCCAGAUCUACAGCUAAGGUCCCAAAGUCAGGUUAAGUGGAAAACGAUGUGAAGAUACGCAGACAACCAGGAUGUUGGCUCAGAAGCAGCCACUCAUUCAAAGAGUGCGUAAUAGCUCACUGGUCGAGCGUCUUUGCGCGGAGAAUUUAACGGGGCUAAACCUGACACCGAAGCUUAGGCAAUCCAGUAAUGGAUUGGGUAGGGGAGCGUUGUAUACGCGGAGAAACAGUAGCGUAAGCGGCUGUGGAGUGUAUAGAAGUGAGAAUGCCGGAAUGAGUAGCGCGAAUGCAGUGAGAAUCUGCAUGGCCGAAAGCCUCAGGUUUCUGGAGGAAGGUUCGUCCGCUCCAGGUUAGUCGGGAGCUAAGGUGAGGCCUAACGGCGUAGCCGAUGCACAGACGGUAGAGAUUCCGUCACCACCAAAAGAGUUAAGCACAGGGACACAUUUGAAGUCUCAGAGCCGGGUGUUGGUUCCGGUAGAGAUCGAGGGAAAUUAGUACCGAAGUCUGAGAUGGAAGAUGGCGAGAAAAGCUGUGUGUAUUUCUGAGGUGCCCGUACCGCAAACCGACACAGGUAGGUAGGAAGAAGAUUCUAAGGCCAACGGGAGAAGGGUUGUUAAGGAACUCGGCAAAUUGACCCCGUAACUUCGGGAGAAGGGGUGCUCCAGAGAUGGAGCCGCAGAGAAUCGGCCCAAGCAACUGUUUACCAAAAACACAGGUUUGUGCUAAAUCGAAAGAUGACGUAUACGAGCUGACGCCUGCCCGGUGCUGGAAGGUUAAGAGGAGAUGUGCAAGCAUUGAAUCGAAGCCCCAGUGAACGGCGGCCGUAACUAUAACGGUCCUAAGGUAGCGAAAUUCCUUGUCAGGUAAG
rnacentral:rRNA from 1 species